GACGAACGCUGGCGGCGUGCCUAAUACAUGCAAGUAGAACGCUGAAGAGAGGAGCUUGCUCUUCUUGGAUGAGUUGCGAACGGGUGAGUAACGCGUAGGUAACCUGCCUGGUAGCGGGGGAUAACUAUUGGAAACGAUAGCUAAUACCGCAUAAAAUUGAUUAUUGCAUGAUAAUUAAUUGAAAGAUGCAAUCGCAUCACUACCAGAUGGACCUGCGUUGUAUUAGCUAGUUGGUGAGGUAACGGCUCACCAAAGCGACGAUACAUAGCCGACCUGAGAGGGUGAUCGGCCACACUGGGACUGAGACACGGCCCAGACUCCUACGGGAGGCAGCAGUAGGGAAUCUUCGGCAAUGGGGGGAACCCUGACCGAGCAACGCCGCGUGAGUGAAGAAGGUUUUCGGGAUCGUAAAAGCUCUGUUGUAAAGAGAAAGAACCGGGUGUG
rnacentral:rRNA from 1 species